CCAUCCUCAGUCAGCAGAUCCACGGAGUCCCUGAUUCCACAGGAUCAGGUCUCCUUCAGAUCCAUCAGACUCACUGCAGACCCACAGAGGAUCCACUCAUUUUAUUUCUGACCACGAUCAGACUUUACAGAAGCUCUGUGGACUCAAACAGGCAAAUCCAACCACGUCAGCCUGCAGCAGGUGGAGAACGUCCAAGAAGCUGUGUUGCUGUAAGGAACAUGAUCCUGCUGCUCCAUGGAAACAGGUUUAAUGGUGCCAGAGCUUCUACUGGACUAACAGAGGAAGCAGUGAUCAGAGGCUUCACACAGAAGCUGAAGCAGUUUGUUUGCAUGAACACAGAGUUAGACGGUGUCUGUGGGCUGGGUGGAUGUUCUCCUCUCACUGUGAUGGAGCUGCUCCUUUAGGGGGCGCCACAGCACAUCAUCUGCCUCCAUCUCCUCCUAUCCCAGCAUCCUCCUCUGUCACACCAGCCCUCUGCAUGUCCUCCUUCAUCCAUCAGCCUCUUGUAGUCCUGGUUAUAUGAAUAGGUCGUUUAUUUUGAUGGUUGAAUUCAAAUGUUCUGUGUGUAAGAAUGUAAACAAAUGCCUGUAAGCUAUGUGAUGUGUGUCAGACGCACAGCCUGUUUAUUUGCAUUGGUGUAGGUCAUUAUUUUCUGUAUGUUACUGGUAUGUACAACAGCUCCAGCCAACCCUGAAGUAGUCUGAGGUUGGGGGGGUGGGAGUAAGGGGGGAGCUGGGUGCACUCCACGGGAAGAGAGAGAGGAGAGAUGAGCAACCGUGUUGUGUGGACGCAGAGUUCAUAGUCAGGCAACAAACUUUUAUUUUCAGGUUGACGUUCAGUUAACUGAAGGGGGAAAGCUGUUGUACCCACUGUGGGGAGGAGACAGAUGUCUUGCUGGCACGUCAGACGUCCCUUCUGCUGCUGUGUUGAACCUAAGUGUUAAUGUGGGAAUACGUGGACACGGCAACCACGAGUGCUGCUGCUGCGCCCUGCUGGGGGCCAGUUUCCCCCCAACUGUCCCCUUGAACCGCCUGGAGGUGUGAGUGCUGUUGUUAGGCGUUAGUCAUUAAUGUUACUUAUUUUCUUUUGUGUUUUGGGAACUAAUCAUUACUAAAGUGAGGUUAACUUUAUCAUUGACCUGCUUGCGUUCGGUUUAUUUCCAUAUAGUCUAGUUUGAUGCACGUUCCAUGUCACAGGCAUCAAAACGUUUGUCACACUGGGAGUGAACUAUGACCCUAAAGCUAAAUGCACCUUUCAUUGAACAUGAGCUCACUGCACAACAAUGACUGCAGCUACACACACACACACACACACACACACACACACACACACACACACACACAGGCUGUGUGUUGAGGUGAAUAACAGACUUUUAAUUUGCUUGUUAGGAAUAAAAAUGCUUCCCAAAUAUUUAAUAUUAAUAAAAAUGUAGAAACAUUUGGAGCACAGAUGUGUAAAGAUGCUGUGAUAUUCAAAUCAGAGUCAAAAUGAGGAAAGAGGAACAGAUGGUUUUCAGAUCAGCACACAUGAAGCCACCUGCUUAGAAACAAGCUCACAUCUGAAAAAGCACCGUUCACAUGUGGAGAGGAUUUAAGUGAUAAAAUUAACAAUGAUCUGAUUUCUCACAGUUUUAAGACUGAAGAGUAUCACAAGCUGAGCUGUUUUCCUGUAAGUGAACCUCUGGCCAGGAGGGAGGAGCUGAUGCUAGCCCUGGGUGCUGCUUUGUAGCCAUGACUCAAAGCCGUCAUAAUCAGACCAGGACUGGGCAGACUGGUUGGCUGAAAUACCGCAGGUGCUGUGCUGACAUUCAGUUCAGCUCAUGAAGCUGAGGAUGGAAGCUGAGAGAAGUGUGGCGAGAACAUGAGGAACAGGUCAGCAUCUUUAGGGCUUCACUUCUGCUUCCAGUUUAAGUUAAAGUGGCACCAACACACACAACCGGUGGUGUUUUGUGGGGUUCUUGGAUGAAAAUCUCCCACACUGAGGACAAACUGAGAACUGAGAAGAUGGAUAAAGCCUCCAGUGACUCCUACAGUCCCAUCUUAAUGCCUCCAGUCCAGCUUAAAUACUGUGACAAUAACAAAGAUUAUUAUGGCUGUCUUCUCCCAGAACCAAACAUGGCAAUCUGCUGUGAAUCUUCCACGUUCAGUUCGACAUUGCCUGGUUUCUGUUCCUUCUUCUGUAAGAGGCAGAAAAGAAAAAUAUCUCCCUCCCAAGCAAUGUUCCCUCUAAUUUUUCAUGUGUCUGAGCGAACACACAAACUCCCUGAGCGGUCCCGUGGACCACUGUGAG